rnacentral:rRNA from 1 species
GUCGAACGGUGAAGCCCAGCUUGCUGGGUGGAUCAGUGGCGAACGGGUGAGUAACACGUGAGCAACCUGCCCUGGACUCUGGGAUAAGCGCUGGAAACGGCGUCUAAUACUGGAUAUGAGACGUGGCCGCAUGGUCAACGUUUGGAAAGAUUUUUCGGUCUGGGAUGGGCUCGCGGCCUAUCAGCUUGUUGGUGAGGUAAUGGCUCACCAAGGCGUCGACGGGUAGCCGGCCUGAGAGGGUGACCGGCCACACUGGGACUGAGACACGGCCCAGACUCCUACGGGAGGCAGCAGUGGGGAAUAUUGCACAAUGGGCGGAAGCCUGAUGCAGCAACGCCGCGUGAGGGAUGACGGCCUUCGGGUUGUAAACCUCUUUUAGCAAGGAAGAAGCUUUUGUGACGGUACUUGCAGAAAAAGCGCCGGCUAACUACGUGCCAGCAGCCGCGGUAAUACGUAGGGCGCAAGCGUUAUCCGGAAUUAUUGGGCGUAAAGAGCUCGUAGGCGGUUUGUCGCGUCUGCUGUGAAAUCCCGAGGCUCAACCUCGGGCCUGCAGUGGGUACGGGCAGACUAGAGUGCGGUAGGGGAGAUUGGAAUUCCUGGUGUAGCGGUGGAAUGCGCAGAUAUCAGGAGGAACACCGAUGGCGAAGGCAGAUCUCUGGGCCGUAACUGACGCUGAGGAGCGAAAGGGUGGGGAGCAAACAGGCUUAGAUACCCUGGUAGUCCACCCCGUAAACGUUGGGAACUAGUUGUGGGGUCCUUUCCACGGAUUCCGUGACGCAGCUAACGCAUUAAGUUCCCCGCCUGGGGGAGUACGGCCGCAAGGCUAAAACUCAAAGGAAUUGACGGGGACCCGCACAAGCGGCGGAGCAUGCGGAUUAAUUCGAUGCAACGCGAAGAACCUUA